rnacentral:rRNA from 1 species
GAUGAACGCUGGCGGCGUGCCUAAUACAUGCAAGUCGAGCGAACGGACGAGAAGCUUGCUUCUCUGAUGUUAGCGGCGGACGGGUGAGUAACACGUGGAUAACCUACCUAUAAGACUGGGAUAACUUCGGGAAACCGGAGCUAAUACCGGAUAAUAUUUUGAACCGCAUGGUUCAGAAGUGAAAGACGGUCUUGCUGUCACUUAUAGAUGGAUCCGCGCUGCAUUAGCUAGUUGGUAAGGUAACGGCUUACCAAGGCAACGAUGCAUAGCCGACCUGAGAGGGUGAUCGGCCACACUGGAACUGAGACACGGUCCAGACUCCUACGGGAGGCAGCAGUAGGGAAUCUUCCGCAAUGGGCGAAAGCCUGACGGAGCAACGCCGCGUGAGUGAUGAAGGUCUUCGGAUCGUAAAACUCUGUUAUUAGGGAAGAACAUAUGUGUAAGUAACUGUGCACAUCUUGACGGUACCUAAUCAGAAAGCCACGGCUAACUACGUGCCAGCAGCCGCGGUAAUACGUAGGUGGCAAGCGUUAUCCGGAAUUAUUGGGCGUAAAGCGCGCGUAGGCGGUUUUUUAAGUCUGAUGUGAAAGCCCACGGCUCAACCGUGGAGGGUCAUUGGAAACUGGAAAACUUGAGUGCAGAAGAGGAAAGUGGAAUUCCAUGUGUAGCGGUGAAAUGCGCAGAGAUAUGGAGGAACACCAGUGGCGAAGGCGACUUUCUGGUCUGUAACUGACGCUGAUGUGCGAAAGCGUGGGGAUCAAACAGGAUUAGAUACCCUGGUAGUCCACGCCGUAAACGAUGAGUGCUAAGUGUUAGGGGGUUUCCGCCCCUUAGUGCUGCAGCUAACGCAUUAAGCGCUCCGCCUGGGGAGUACGACCGCAAGGUUGAAACUCAAAGGAAUUGACGGGGACCCGCACAAGCGGUGGAGCAUGUGGUUUAAUUCGAAGCAACGCGAAGAACCUUACCAAAUCUUGACAUCCUUUGACAACUCUAGAGAUAGAGCCUUCCCCUUCGGGGGACAAAGUGACAGGUGGUGCAUGGUUGUCGUCAGCUCGUGUCGUGAGAUGUUGGGUUAAGUCCCGCAACGAGCGCAACCCUUAAGCUUAGUUGCCAUCAUUAAGUUGGGCACUCUAAGUUGACUGCCGGUGACAAACCGGAGGAAGGUGGGGAUGACGUCAAAUCAUCAUGCCCCUUAUGAUUUGGGCUACACACGUGCUACAAUGGACAAUACAAAGGGCAGCGAAACCGCGAGGUCAAGCAAAUCCCAUAAAGUUGUUCUCAGUUCGGAUUGUAGUCUGCAGCUCGACUACAUGAAGCUGGAAUCGCUAGUAAUCGUAGAUCAGCAUGCUACGGUGAAUACGUUCCCGGGUCU